UACGGAGGGUGCGAGCGUUGUCCGGAAUCACUGGGCGUAAAGGGCGCGUAGGUGGCCUGUGGAAGUCUGCGGUGAAAGCCCGGCGCUCAACGCCGGGUCGGCCGUGGAUACUCUCGGGCUUGAGCUUACUAGAGGCAGAUGGAAUUCCGGGUGUAGCGGUGGAAUGCGUAGAGAUCCGGAAGAACACCGGUGGCGAAGGCGGCCUGCUGGGCAGUGGCUGACGCUGAGGCGCGACAGCGUGGGGAGCAAACAGG
rnacentral:rRNA from 1 species